UGCCCCGGUCCGGGAAGAUCCCACAUGCCGCGGAGCGGCUGGGCCCGAGAGCCGUGGCCGCUGAGCCUGCGCGUCCGGAGCCUGUGCUCCGCAGCGGGAGGGGCCACAGCGGUGAGAGGCCCGCGUACCGCAAAAAAACAAACAAACAAAUAAACCUCAGCUGUAUUCCCAUAGCUUUGAAAAUAUUCUAUAGUCAGAGGUAAAAUGACUAUUUCAACCCACUACUAAGAAUUAAAAAUUCUCAGUGAUUCCACACAUUUUCCUGUGUAUAUGUAAAUAAAGCUAUGUAUUCAUGAGUUGGGGGAACACCAAGACCAUACCCAACUUCUAUGAUUUGUUAGGAGAACUCACAGGACUCAGCAGACAGUCGUACUCAUGGCUAAGAUUUAUUACAGUGAAAAGGUAUAGAGCAAGAUCAACAAAGGCAGAAGGUUCAUGGUACAAAGUUGGAGAGAAACCAGGCACAAGCUUCCUGGGGCCCUCUCCUGGUGCAGUCACAAAGGCCCUGUUUAAUUCCCCAGAAAUGAGAUGUGAAAUGUUGUCCACCAGGGGAGCUCUUUAGAGACGCGUCGUCCAGGCUUUUUAACGGGGGCUGGUCACACAGGCAGGCUUUAACUAGUACAUCCUAAAGUUUCAGACUCCCAGAAGGAAAGCAAGCGCUCAGAGCACAAACCACUUUGUUUGAGCAAAGAGUUAAGGCAUAGUGACCCCUCUUAUCUGUUGGGAAUAGUGCGAACUCUCCUGAAGUCUAAGUUCCUCUAUGCCCACCGACAGCCAACCUUGUAAGCAGGACUUUCAAAGGAUUACAGUUGGGCCUGCUAAGAUAACUUUCUUACACAAUUCACAUAUACAUUUUGUACAAAAUGCUCUGUUUCUAUAUAUUCUGCUGCUGUCUGUAUGCAAUUUUUCUUUUAAAGAUAAUACUAUCGUGAACAUCUUUCUAUGCCGAUUCAUGUAGGUCUACUUACUUCUUUGUCAUAGUUACAUGGUCUUCCAUUUAUAGACAAACAAUUUCUUUAACCAUUCCUGUAUAGAUUGAUACUUGGUUUGUUUUCAGUUUUUGGUAUUACAAAUCAUGAUGCAAUGAACAUCAUUGUACAUAUAUUCUUCAUGUAUCCAUGCCUAUUGUUUUUGUUACAUAGGCUUCCAGUUUCUGCGAUGUAAGCAUCUAGAAAUGGUAUUCCUGAUGUCAUUCAAUUUGGAAAGGAAGAUCAUUGUGUUGGAAUUCUACUGGAAGUAUUAGAAUGUAGAGAGUUUUCUUGGAAAAGAGGACAGUUAGAAGACUAUUAAAAUACCCAGGUGAUAGUUGAUUAGGGUCCCAACUAAACUGUGUCAGGGAGCUUGGAGAGGAGUAGAAAUGGUGCAGAUUUAGUUAGAAGGCAAUACAACAGCCCCUGAUUGUGGAUGGCUAGUGGAGAGUGAGAAAGGGAGAGUUAAAAGUGACUCCCAGUUACAUCAUCUGGUGGAUGGCAACGAGGUGGAAUGCAAGAAGAGAGAGCGAUUAGGAAGCAAUUAUAACAAUUCAGGGAAGAAGUGAUGGGGGUUCAGGUUUUCAAAUGUUCAUUCAUUCACACUUACUGAGAAUCUCGCUAUGUACCAGCCACUCAUUAGCUGUUAGCAUUGGUGCAAUUUUUUUUUUUUUUUGCCAAAAACGUUGAGAUAGACAUCUGAUGCAAUAUAGAUUUCAAUUAAUUUGGCCAUUAAUUAACUUCAUUGCUAUUCUUUUGUGAAUGGUACAAUGCUUAAAGCUAUAGAGAGUGAUGGUGAAUCAGGUCCUAGAUGCUUGAAAAAUCUGCACACUCUUUAGAGUAAAAAUAUGAGGAGGGAGGGGAAAAGGAAUUAUGAAAGCAAAUAAGAUCUCUCUUGUGUCUAGGUUUGAAGACAGACUGCCUCCCACACACUCGUUUCAAAUACCCUUAGCAAGUGUGAGCAGGAAAUCUUCCUCCCUCUGCCUGCAGAGAACUUUCUCUCCUGCACAGUUCUGAGUAUCACUUGUGUGGGCCUCAAGUGUGGUGUGAAAGAGAGAAGCCAGGAAGCAGUUCUUUUUAUUCUUUUCACUGAGUUGCUGUUCCCUUCAAAUCUGCCCCUCCUCCCUACCCCAUGAACCUGAAAUGCAGCUGCCCAUCUCCUGAAGCCCAGACACAUAUAAAUCGUAAUUUGAAUGACAAGGGGAGUUUUACUUUUUUAUGCAUCCUUCAAUAGAAAUUGACAAGCUUUAAUGCAUUUUAUUUCCCAACUUGUUUGAAUUUAUACUGGAAUCUGCUUUCUGAUUAAUUUUAUUUGGCUAGGCAGAAAAGUCUCAUUCUGCAUUCAUUUGCACCCAAUACACGUAAGGAAUGUGAUCUGACACAUUUUUUUUGAAUUUUAUUUUAUUUAUUUUUUUAUACAGUAGGUUCUUAUUAGUUAUCCAUUUUAUACAUAUUAGUGUAUAAAUGUCAAUCCCAAUCUCCCAAUUCAUCAUACCACCACCACUUUCCCCCCUUGGUGUCCAUAUGUUUGUUCUCUACAUCUGUGUCUCUAUUUCUGCCCUGCAAAACAGUUCAUCUGUACCAUUUUUCUAGAUUCCACUUAUAUGCGUUAAUAUAUGAUACUUGUUUUUCUCUUUCUGACUUACUUCACUCUGUAUGACAGUCUCUAGAUCCAUCUACGUCUCUACAAAUGACCCAAUUUUGUUCCUUUUUAUGGCUGAGUAAUAUUCCAUUGUAUAUAUGUACCACAUCUUCCUUAUCCAUUCAUCUGUCGAUGGGCAUUUAGGUUGCUUCCAUGUCCUGCCUAUUGUAAAGACUACUGCAAUAAAUAUUGGGGUGCAUGUGUCUUUUUGAAUUAUGGUUUUCUCUGGAUAUAUGCCCAGUAGUGGGAUUGCUGGGUCAUGUGGUAAUUCUAUUUUUAGUUUUUUAAGGGACCUCCAAACUGUUCUCCAUAGUGGCUGUAUCAAUUUACAUUCCCACCAAAAAAAUUUUUUUCAUAGUCUCUGAAGCUCAUAUGAGGAGGGGUAGGGGUCACAUCUUUUUUCUUCCUACAGACUUAAGUCUCUUUAUCCUUUUUAAAAUUCCUGUAAAAAGUCAAGUUCCAUUCUGCAAAGAAGAUACACAAAUGUCUAAUAAGCACACGAACAGAUGUUCAUCACUAAUCAUUAGGGAAAUGAAAAUCAAAAUGAGAUGCCACUUCACACCCAAUAGGAUGGCUAUUAUUGAAAAAAAAAGUAAAUAACAGGUAUUAAAGAGGAUGUAGAGAAACUGGAAACUUUGUGCAUUGCUGGUGGGAAUGUAAAAUGAUAUAGGCACUGUGGAAAACAAUAUGGUGGUUCUUCAAAAAAUUAAAUCUAGAAUCACUAUGUCAUCUGACAAUUCUACUUCUAGGUAGAAUUUUUCUACCCAAAAGAGUUGAAAGCAGGGGUUGAACAGAUAUUUGUACACCAAUGUUCAUAGCAGCAUUAUUUGCAAUAGCCACAAGGUAGCAGCAACCCAAGUGUCCAUUGACAGAGAAAUAAACAAAAUGUGGUAUAUAUUUACAUACAAUGGAAUAUUAGUCAGCCUUAAAAAGGGACAGUAUUCUGACACACGUGCUACAACAUGGAUGAACCUUGAAGACACUAUGAUAAGUGGCAUAAGCCAGACACAAAAGAACAAAUAUUGUGUGAUUCCACUUACCUAAGGUCCCUAGAGGAGACAAAUUCAUAGACACAGAAGGUAAAAUGAUGGUAGCUAGGGGCUGGGGUAGGGGGAAUGGAGAGUUAUUGUGAAACGAUAUGGAGUUUCAGUUUAGAAAGAUGUAGAAGUUCUGGAGGUGGAUGGUGGUGGUGGUGGCUGUAUAACAAUGUGAAUGUGCUUGGUGCCACUCAACUGUGCACUCGAAAAUAAUUAAAAUGGUAAAUUCCGUGUUGUGUGUAUUUUACCACAACUCUAAAAAUGAAAAAAAAAAAAUCAAGCUAUAAGUUGCUGCCUGGGCAAACCUGUAUUUUUCUCCACUGAUACUUUUUCCUCACUUUGAGGGAUUCUCUCUCAUUUCCGCAUCUUUCAUUCCAGCUUCCUCUCUCUGCCCUACUGCAUUUUGCACUCUUCCCCAUUUACAAAACUUUCUCUAAAGACAGACUCUGAUAUAAUCAAUGAUACCCUGUAGGUGUUUGAGCCAAUAUUAUAGCUUUCCCGGGUAUAUUUUCAUUUUAAGGAUUAUCUCUAAUGGAAAACACAAGGUUGUAUUUCGUGGUGAAGAUGGCCUUCUGGGCCCCCGAAAAUCUCUGUACCUCGGCCCCUGUGCCUCUGUAGAGGACUGAUGUACUGGUUAGGGAAUCAGUCAGGAAAAGGAAAGUGACUGUAGGUAUUUCAAACAGAGAGAGAUUUAAUACAGGGUGUGACGUUUCCAAGUUGUCGGCAGGGAAGGAGCAAAACCGGGUGUGGGAAAGUGGUGCUAGCCAGAGAUCCCGCACUGCAGUCAGUCCCUGUGGCCCUGUAGGAACCUACUUGCCUCUGAGCCCGAGGGACUCACAGCCCUGCGGCCCUUCUCAAGCCAGCAGGAACCAGCCGCUGCCCUGCAGGAGGUAUUAGACCGACAGCUGCCUCCCAGGCUGGAGCCAGAAAAAGAAUCUCUCUCUCUACCUCCUGCUCUCAUGCAAAAGCCUCCCAAGGGCAGCAUCUAAAUUGGAACUCUGCUGGCAGGGGGGGUCUAAGAAAUAUAGUUUACAGGCUUCUAGCCCUUGUGGUUUGGGGAGCACAGAGAGGUAGGUGCUGAGCAUAGCAGGCAGCAUGUCACCCAGACCGGUAUUGUGGGGGGAGUUGAAACGAGCACCUCCGCACAGACAGGCUGAUCUCUGCAGGAUGAGACAUCCUCGGGCUCGCAUGUCAGACAGGCCUGUCUUGCAGCUCUGGGAUCAUAAGCAAUAAUAGCAAGAACCAUUUACCGGGCCGUUCAGGAAGCAGAGGGUUCUGUGAAGGGCUUUAAACCUCACACCAACAAGCCUGUAGGUCGGUGUCAUAAGUUCUGUUUUACAGAUAAAAAAAUUAGAGUCAGGGGGACAGGUCACAUGGUCACUGAAUGGGGGAGCUGGGUUUCAAACCCAGGUCUGAGUUACUUUUCUCUCGGGCUGAACUCUGAGCUUCCAUUUCCAACUCACAGUCCUGCUGGGGAUUUGAUGAGAUCCUGGAAAUACACCUCUGGUUUUAUGUUUCAUCCCUCAUCCCCAGAAGGGUGGCAUUCACCUCUGGCCACUGGCCCCUGCUCUCAGCCAACACCCCUGUGGUAGGCGUAGCUGUGUGGUCACCCUCCCUCUGAAACUCUGCAUGGUGGUCUGCACAGAGUGGGUGUUGGUCAAUUCCAUGGCUGUUUUUGUUUUUUUUUUAAUUUUUUUUAACAUCUUUAUUGGAGUAUAAUUGCUUUCCAGUGGUGUGUUAGUUUCUGCUUUAUAGCAAAGUGGAUCAGCUAUAAGUAUACAUAUAUCCUCAUAUCUCUUCCCUCUUGCAUCUCCCUCCCACCCUCCCUAUCCCACCCCUCCAGGUGGUCACAAAGCACCGAGCUGAUCUCCCUGCGCCAUGCGGCUGCUUCCCACUAGCUAUCUAUUUUACGUUUGGUAGUGUAUAUAUGUCCAUGCCACUCUCUCGCUUUGUCCCAGCUUCCCCUUCCCCCUCCCCCGUCCUCAAGUCCAUUCUCUAGUAGGUCUGCGUCUAUUCCCGUCCUGCCCCUAGCUUCUUCAUGACCAUUUUAUUUUUUUUUAGAUUCCAUAUAUAUGUGUUAGCAUAUGGUUCCACGGCUGUUUUGUUCUGGCAAAUGGACCCAGUCUUGGACUUUCCCUGAAGAGGGAAGUCAGCAGACUAGGAGGUAUUUCUGCUAUUGGGUAAUUUUUCCCAUUACAGCCUGCAUUAGUUUCCAAUGGUUGCUGUAAUAAAUUACUGCAAACUUGGUGACUUGAAACAAUGGAAGGGUGUUCUCUCACAGGUCUGGAGGCCAGCAGUCUGAAAUUGAGGCGUCAGCAGGGCUGAGCUCCCUCCAGAGGCCCUGGGGAAGACCCUGGCUGUGCCUCUGUGACUAUGAACCGUGGCCAAAUGGGAAGAGCCUGAUGGAUGUGGCCGGCUUGAUUAAUAACAGCCUGUCUCCAGAGCUCUGAGAAUGGCAAGUGAUGCAUUGCCCUGAUUCCACUUCUAAUUCUCUGUUGUCACACACGGUGGUUUGGCCAAGCAGAGGCCCUGUGUCCACAGCACAGUGUCUGGCUGCAAGCCUUGGAUCUCCUGGGUCACCAAAACUGAUUCUCUGAGCGGAAAAUAAAAGCUUCCGGGGCAGUGGUACAUAUCCAGAGCAGAGAGCGUGUGCAUGGCUGCACUUCUCUCUCUGACGGGACGUUGUGAGCCAGACAGGUGCAGCAAAGACCCACCUGUGCAGGUAUCACCCCCCUUCCUGCAAUGCUGUUAUCUGAUGCUUUCCCAGGGAGAAAUUCAUCAGCAGGACAAUACACCUAGGAAUGGAAGUGCCCAGAAGAAAGAUGUGUCUCACUUUCAGACGUUCUGCUGACCUUCAUCCAUCCUCUGCAAAUAUGAAGUCAUUGUUUUGGAAGCCACGCACUUACCUCCUAUUCCGCAGCUCUCCAACUGCCCUAGCAUGAGGAGCUUUAAACAGAAAGAAGCUUGCGUUGUAUCACUGUUACCUACUAAAGUGAGGAUUUUCUCUCCCCACCUUCAUGUCUUGAACAUUGCUGUCGGGGGUUGGAAAUUAAUCUUGAGGCAGAGCAUUCGCUGAUUCCAUUCAAGGGGAAAGCAACAGUGAAUACGGCUUAUUCUUGCCAAGCCAGUGAUCUAUUUCUUAAGCAAUUCUUCUGGGACUGACAUCUGCCAGGAAUGGGGAAGCUGGGGUCCCGGGCUGUUCCUGAUCUCAGCCUAGCCCUGGAGUUGGAGAAAACCCCGCAGUUCCUAUUCGAAAUUAUACACUUGGACGGUGUUUCUCUUGGCUUCAACUGUAAAGGCUGGUGCCCAGAGCUAAUCUUUGGCAAAACAGAGAA